rnacentral:rRNA from 1 species
CCUACGGGAGGCAGCAGUGGGGAAUAUUGGACAAUGGGCGCAAGCCUGAUCCAGCCAUGCCGCGUGUGUGAAGAAGGCCUUCGGGUUGUAAAGCACUUUUAUCCGGAAAGAAAAGCUUUGGGUUAAUACCCUGAAGUCAUGACGGUACCGGAAGAAUAAGCACCGGCUAACUUCGUGCCAGCAGCCGCGGUAAUACGAAGGGUGCAAGCGUUACUCGGAAUUACUGGGCGUAAAGCGUGCGUAGGUGGUUUGUUAAGUCUGAUGUGAAAGCCCUAGGCUCAACCUGGGAAUUGCAUUGGAUACUGGCAGGCUAGAGUGCGGUAGAGGAUAGUGGAAUUCCCGGUGUAGCAGUGAAAUGCGUAGAGAUCGGGAGGAACAUCUGUGGCGAAGGCGACUAUCUGGGCCAGCACUGACACUGAGGCACGAAAGCGUGGGGAGCAAACAGGAUUAGAUACCCUGGUAGUCCACGCCCUAAACGAUGCGAACUGGAUGUUGGGUGCAACUAGGCACUCAGUAGUACGAGACGUACGACGUUAAGUUCGCCGUCCGUCGGGGUAGGUUACGGGUUCGGUCGAGACGUAGAACGUUACGAAGGAAGUUAGACGGCGUUGAGGACGUUCGCCGACGGCGACCGACCGAGGGAGGAGG